rnacentral:rRNA from 1 species
CAUAGGUUAAUGAGGCGAACCGGGGGAACUGAAACAUCUAAGUACCCCGAGGAAAAGAAAUCAACCGAGAUUCCCCCAGUAGCGGCGAGCGAACGGGGAGGAGCCCAGAGCCUGAAUCAGUGUGUGUGUUAGUGGAAGCGUCUGGAAAGGCGCGCGAUACAGGGUGACAGCCCCGUACACAAAAAUGCACAUACUGUGAGCUCGAUGAGUAGGGCGGGACACGUGGUAUCCUGUCUGAAUAUGGGGGGACCAUCCUCCAAGGCUAAAUACUCCUGACUGACCGAUAGUGAACCAGUACCGUGAGGGAAAGGCGAAAAGAACCCCGGCGAGGGGAGUGAAAAAGAACCUGAAACCGUGUACGUACAAGCAGUGGGAGCACGCUUCGGCGUGUGACUGCGUACCUUUUGUAUAAUGGGUCAGCGACUUAUAUUCUGUAGCAAGGUUAACCGAAUAGGGGAGCCGAAGGGAAACCGAGUCUUAACUGGGCGUUAAGUUGCAGGGUAUAGACCCGAAACCCGGUGAUCUAGCCAUGGGCAGGUUGAAGGUUGGGUAACACUAACUGGAGGACCGAACCGACUAAUGUUGAAAAAUUAGCGGAUGACUUGUGGCUGGGGGUGAAAGGCCAAUCAAACCGGGAGAUAGCUGGUUCUCCCCGAAAGCUAUUUAGGUAGCGCCUCGUGAAUUCAUCUCCGGGGGUAGAGCACUGUUUCGGCAAGGGGGUCAUCCCGACUUACCAACCCGAUGCAAACUGCGAAUACCGGAGAAUGUUAUCACGGGAGACACACGGCGGGUGCUAACGUCCGUCGUGAAGAGGGAAACAACCCAGACCGCCAGCUAAGGUCCCAAAGUCAUGGUUAAGUGGGAAACGAUGUGGGAAGGCCCAGACAGCCAGGAUGUUGGCUUAGAAGCAGCCAUCAUUUAAAGAAAGCGUAAUAGCUCACUGGUCGAGUCGGCCUGCGCGGAAGAUGUAACGGGGCUAAACCAUGCACCGAAGCUGCGGCAGCGACACUAUGUGUUGUUGGGUAGGGGAGCG